UUGUUCACAUGAUGCCUCCUCUCUCUAUUGAUGAUAAUGUUGUUGACUUUUAAAAUAAUAGUGCCACCGAUAUUAAUUCCCUCAAUCUCUUCUCGGUUGUGUGUGUAUAUAUAUCUCGAUGAUGGAUGAUGUAAGAUGUUUUUUCUCAAAAGUCCAAUCCCUCUUUUACCGUGAUGAUGAUGGUAUUAUAUUUGUGAUUUUAAUGGCUCCCCAUGAUCUCCUUGGUCUGCGUGAAUUGAUGUCUGCCGCCAAAUCAAGUCUCACGUGGAUGGCAGUGAUGCAACCCUUGUAUUUCAACCGUAGCCUAUGGUUUAAGAACCGUAGGUUACGGUACGGACAUUCUGUUUCUUUCUGGAUUUCCCAACUUUAAUGAACCGUAGGCUAUGGUAUUUAACCGUAGCUUAUGUUGCAACAUAUAAGUUCCUCCAUAGCUGCAUUUUAACUUUCGUUUAAUGAUCAGUAACCCCCUGAACUUCAUUGGUUUCAUAAUUCUCACACUCACAACCUAUGUAUCGACUUUCGAAUAAUUACUUCCAGGCCCCUAAGCUUCAUUUCAGCACAUAUUCUGCAUAGUUGAGUUAUCUCCUCACCCGAACAACUCCCGUUUAACUUGAUACCUUUCUAAUAAUCCUCGUUGCUCGUCCCGUUUCAUCAUUAAGCUCUCUAACUUCGUCUUAUUACGCAUUUUACCUGUAAAACCACAAACACUCGUAGUUACUAUAUUCGAAACAUAUAAUCGCAUAAACCGCAUUAAAUCACACAAGAUAAUACUCUUAAGGCUCGUGUUUCACACUCUCCAUCACAUUGCACGUAUUGUUCAGGCUAUCAUGGAUGCGCCUGAAACCGCAACUAGUUUAGACUUGGUCAAGGAACGUGCCCGCGAUGCCGGUUUUAAAGCUGGUUACAGCCGCUGUAUCGGUCACAUAAACGUCAUGUCUAAGGGCGGUUAUACCGAAGAGCGGUCCGGGUUUCGUGACGUGGACACCGAAGUGCUCCUUAACGCGGUUGUUGCCUCCUUUUACGAUACGUCCCUCUCUUGCGUGGAGAAAUUGGACGAAUGUUUAGGGGCUGCGAAUUAUGUAGACCGGUUGCGGAUGCUGUAUGCUGAUGCAGAAGAGGAAGAUCCUGCUGGUGGCGGCCAAGAUGGCGCGGGUACCAGUGGUACAAAAUAGGGUUUAGGUUGGCUAGUGUGCCCCUUUUUUGUUUUCCUUUUGUAAAUGUUGGAAACUUCAUGUAAAUCUAUUAAGCACCGCGUGGGUGCUUGAAUUUUUUGAAUAUAAAGUUUGUUGUUCAAUUUGUA